rnacentral:rRNA from 1 species
CCUACGGGAGGCAGCAGUGAGGAAUAUUGGUCAAUGGACGAGAGUCUGAACCAGCCAAGUAGCGUGAAGGAUGACUGCCCUAUGGGUUGUAAACUUCUUUUAUAUGGGAAUAAAACGUUCCACGUGUGGGAUUUUGUAUGUACCAUAUGAAUAAGGAUCGGCUAACGCCGUGCCAGCAGCCGCGGUAAUACGGAGGAUCCGAGCGUUAUCCGGAUUUAUUGGGUUUAAAGGGAGCGUAGGUGGAUUGUUAAGUCAGUUGUGAAAGUUUGCGGCUCAACCGUAAAAUUGCAGUUGAAACUGGCAGUCUUGAGUACAGUAGAGGUGGGCGGAAUUCGUGGUGUAGCGGUGAAAUGCUUAGAUAUCACGAAGAACUCCGAUUGCGAAGGCAGUUCACUGGACUGCAACUGACACUGAGGCUCGAAAGUGUGGGUAUCAAACAGGAUUAGAUACCCUAGUAGUC